rnacentral:rRNA from 5 species
GGUAACAUCAAAUCGUACCCCAAACCGACACAGGUGGUCAGGUAGAGAAUACCAAGGCGCUUGAGAGAACUCGGGUGAAGGAACUAGGCAAAAUGGUGCCGUAACUUCGGGAGAAGGCACGCUGACACGUAGGUGAAGUGAUUUACUCAUGGAGCUGAAGUCAGUCGAAGAUACCAGCUGGCUGCAACUGUUUAUUAAAAACACAGCACUGUGCAAACACGAAAGUGGACGUAUACGGUGUGACGCCUGCCCGGU